rnacentral:lncRNA from 1 species
UAAAAAUAUUAUAUUAUCCCAUUUCACAGAUGAACAGACCAUGUGGUAAGAUGUAGAGAUACAAUUCUGGAAUAGGAUUUGGAAUUCUGCCUCCUGGUUCAGAGAUCAAUUUUCUUGGACUAUCACAACCAGAAAGUUUAAGGGACCCCCACAACCACCUGAUUGUCUUUCUGCACUUACGUAGUGAAACUGGCCUCUGACCUAAGGCUAGAAACCAGUGACUAACGUGAUGUCUUCUGCCAUGAUGCAGCAAGACAGAUGCCGGCCCGUUGAUCUUGGACCUCCCAGCCUCCAGAACUCUGAGAAAUGAAUUUCUGUUCAUUAUAAUUACCCAGUCUCAAGUAUUCUGUUAUAGCAACGCAAAAUGGACUAACACACAUGCUGAAUGAGUCAAUAUUUCCCAAAGUGUGUUUCAUAAAAGUAGGCUAAAUAGAUGUCACAAGUCAAGUGUUCCAUAGUCAAAUAAGAUUGGAAAAUGCUGAAUAUAACAAGUCCAACAAUAAAGAAAUGGCUAACUUAUAAAAGCCAUUAAUAUAUUCACGUUCCUAGAAACCAUCCAAAAGAUAGCUAGAGGUGGCUCACACCUGUAAUCCUAGCACUUCGGGAGGCCAAGGCAGGCAGAUCACCUGAAGUCAGGAACUCAAGACCAGCUGGGCCAAUAUGGCGAAACCCCUUCUCUACUAAAAAUACAAAAAUUAGCCGGGCAUGGUGGUACACGUCUGUAACCGCAGCUACCUGGGAGACUGAGGCAGGAGAAUUGCUUGAACCCAGGAGGCAAAGGUUGCAGUGAGCCGAGAUCAAGCCACUGCAUUCCAGCCUGGGCAACAGAGCGAGACUCUGUUUUUAAAAAAAAUUAAAAAAUAAAUUUAAAAAACCCCAAAAAAUAGCUAGAGCAUGUAAUGUAUCUCAGAUUUCUUUUCUCACAGAUAUUCUUUUCACUAAGCAUCUCAGAAGACUAGUAUUAUAGGGAAUGGACUCUUGAGAUAAGAACUGAGAGGAAAAAGAAAGGUUUAAAUACAGCUAUGUAUCAAGCACUUCAUAUACAUCAUUUAAAAUUAUCUAAUUCUCACAAUAAUCCUAUCAAGUAAUUAACUUGUCUGAGAUCACAAGGUGAAUUAUAGCAGAACCCACAUUUAAAACCUAGCCAACAGUAUGUCUCUGAAGUCCUGCAACAUUGUCUUUUUAAUAAGAAAAAAAUAUCAAAGAGAGUCCUAUGGGGUGUGGUGGAAAGGAAAGAAAAUAAGAAAAGCAAUGGGAACAAGAAACAUUACUGUUGGUACAAAGCCCAAGCAAAAAUGAGUUGAGGCUCUAACAACCCAUUUAAAAACCAAAAGAGAACUUGAACAGACAUUUCACCAAAAAGGUUAUACAAAUAGCAAAUAAGCACAUGAAAAGAUGUUCAACAGCCAUUAAGAAAAUACAAAUUAAAACCACAAUGAGACACCACUAUAUGCCUAUUGGAAUGGCUAAGACAGAAAAUACUGACAUCAAGUGCUGACAAGCAAGCAGACCAACUGGAACUCUUACAUGUUGCUGAGGGGAACACAAAAUGGUGUAGCCACUCUGGAAAGCAGUUGGGCAGUUUGUUAUAAAGUCAAACACUUACCAUAGGACCUGGCAAUCCCAUUCUUGAGUAUUUACACUGGAAAAAUGGAAACUUAAGUUCACACAAAAACCUGAACACAAAUGUUUAUGGCAGCUCUAUUGAAAAUUGUCCCAAACUGGGCCAGGCGCAGUGGCUAACACCUGUAACCCCAGCACUUUGGGAGGAUGAGGCGGGUGGAUCACUUGCGGUCAGGAGUUCGAGAACAGCCUGGCUAACAUGGUGAAACCCUGUCUCUACUAAAAAUACAAAAAUUAGCUGGGCAUUGUGGCAGGUACCUGUAAUCCCAGUGACUUGAGAGGCUGAGGCAGGAGAAUCGCUUGAACCCAGGAGGCGGAGGUUGCAGUGAGCUGUGAUCGCGCCACCGCACUCCAGUCUGGAUGACAGAGUGAGACUCCGUCUCAAAAAAACAAAAAAAGAAAAGAAAAUUGUCCCAAACUGAAAGCAACUUAAAUGUCCUUCAGUGAAUGAAGGGAUAAACAAGGUGUGGUACACAUCCAUACUAUGGAAUACCACUCAACAAUACAAAGGAAUGAAGUAUUGAUAGACACAAGUUGGAUGAAUCUCAAAGGCAUUUUGCUGAGUCUCCCACAGAAGCCAAUCUCAAAAGAUCUCAUACUAUAUGAUUCUAGCUCUAUGACACUGCUGAAAGACAAAACUCUAGUGGUGGAGAACACAUCAGUGGCUGCCAGGGAUUAAAGGGGGGGAAUAUGUGACUACAGAGGGAUUGCAUGAGACAGUCUUUUGGGGUGAUGAAACUGUUCCGCUGUUUGUGGGGUUAUGCGAAUUUACAUGUGUUAAAAUUCACAGAACCGUACAAUAAACCAACAAAAUCCAUUUUACUGUGUGACGAUUUUUUAAAUUAAGAGAAAAAAAGCAGAAAAUGUGUUGAAGCACAUUUUCAUGCCAGUUAUAUGUAAAUAAUAAAAAGUCAUGCCAUGAAUGUCAUAUCAUAGGACACAUAGUUAUUAUUGAAUAACUACAGAUGAGAAUUUUGCAGCUUCACUUGAAUUUUAAAUUUCCACACUUAUUUUAGAUAUAAUUACCUUCUGCUCAGAAUUGUAACAAAAGUUUAGGUGAAAGUAAGGUCCUUC